rnacentral:misc_RNA from 1 species
AUCGGAUUCAUGGUGAAUUUGUGUUUUAAGAUUAUAAUGAUUUUUUUCUUUCAUUUUUUAAAAUAUAAAAUAGAUAGUAAUAAUGCACCUCAGUAAAGCAUAAAUAAAUUAAUUUCUGGAUUGAGCUCACAAGACAUUCUUGCAAAUUGAUUGAUUUCCGGAUCAUUACAACUACCAAUAAUUACAACUAAGUAACUUUGCCAUUAAAACGACAAAACAAAUCUGGAGGAUGAUCUUAAUCAUCCGCGAAAUUUAUAACAAAAUCUAUGGAAAAUUCUGGGGGCCCACCCUAAUUCUAUGACACAGAUCCUAAAACUGUGGCAAAUGCUUUUUCAUCUCAAACAUUACUCCAAUUCAGAAUCCACAAGUUAUUUCUCAAAUGAAUGCCUAAAACAGAACAGACUUUAAUCCUUCCGAGUGUUGAGCACUACUGAUAUCAAAAAUAUGUUAACAAAAAAUCAAGGUGUUAGAUCUCACGCAGAAUUAGUAUUCUGCUUUGCCCCACUUGAGCGCCCACCUCUCCCUCUCCAUUCCUGGUAACCUUCACCUCUCCCAGUUGAACUCCUCCCUCGACCAGAAAAUUCACCCCAGUUUCCAAACUCAUUCCUGACAAAACCCCGGCCUCCACCAAAAUUUCCACGGCCCCUGAAGCUUUCGCUACGAAAUCCUGCCCUUCCAGAAGAAAACCUACCUCUUCCACUACCAACUCGAGUGGAGGUUCUCUUUAUCUCAAUAACUGCUUGACGCCCUCCGAUGGUCAUGGGUGAUGCCUGAAAUAGAGAGAACACAUUAUGCAUAAGUUCCAUUAUGAACCAUAGAGAAACCUGUCAUGCACGAAUUGGACACUGAAAUAGAACAUGAUUGAAUAUUUCCAACUGCUCUAGUGACUCAUGUUGUAGUCCAUUAACAAGCACAGAAAAUCUAACAAACUUAAAGAACCAAAUCUAUCUAAAUGAUUAUAUUGACAAUUUGACAUCAAGAGACAAAUAUAAAUCCAUAUUGUAUACAUUUAAGUAUUGAUAUCAAUACAAGAAAAAAUGGCAAUUUUGAACAGUUGAUUAAGCAACUCCUCGAGAAUAUGUGGUUCCACAGUCAAAUAUGGUACAAUAUAAAUAUCUGAUUAAAUGAAGUAUAAAACUUCUUGUAGUUAAUAAUCGUAAUGCAUUAGAUAGUUGACAUUGCAUUGCUUUACAAAGCAGAACUACUCAGCUUCAAUUAAUCCUAAUUACUGUAACUACAAGUACUUUAAUUCCACCAAUUAAUCCUAAUUACUGCAACUACAAUCACUUAAAAUGCAUAAUAUUCAAGGAGUAAUAAGAAGAGGAAUUCAUCCUACCUUAUCAAGUACUUCAUUUCCUCUUAUUCCUCCUUGAAAUCAUGAAUUUUAUAGCCUCACUACUCUCAAGCAGGCCUGGCUAUACCUCAUUUCUUCCAUCAAUAUCUUACCAUGAUAAACCAAAUCCAUUCCUUCAAAUAAAUACUCAAACCUCACACCCCAAACCCUUUACAUUUACUUUGAUUGAAUUCACAAUAGCAUUCAAGCAAGUUCCACCAAUUGUCUUGGGUGGUUGGGGUGAGGGUGUGGGUAGUUGUGGGGGUAUGACAACCAGUUGAAACUAUCAUUGAUGCAGAAAACCAAAAUUCUAUACAACUAUAAACAGAUUUUCAAAUUUUGCAGGCUUUAGCUGACUGCAUUAUCCCAAAAAGCAUACUCUCCUAAUCUUCUUACAUCAAAAAUAAUAAGGACAUCCAAUCCUAGAGGCUGCUAUUUUGCCACUACUGAUUAGUACAACAAUUCAUAGAAAAACAAAAACUGAACAGAUAGGACAUCCUGCACUGAUGUAUUGACCAGAUAAAUAUUGACCCAAGAUGUCAGAUUCCAUUAGUACCCAUGGCCCACACUAACCAUUGCUAAAAGGAAGGAACAGGCAAUCCAAUAACUAAAUGCUUUGUCUAAUAAGCUCCAUCACAUUGCUCUAGGACCGGAUAGGAUUUUAGUGCAGUCAAACCAGUAUACGUGCAUGGUUACUCAAAUUCUCAAUUCCAACACAAACCAAGGUAAUUUUUAAUGCAAAAGAUCAUACAGUUCCCAACACCUCCACCUUUUGCCUCAGUGAGAAGAGUACCAUCAGAUGAGAUGUACUUCUAUGUCAAGGCAUUUCUUGCUUACACCAAAACACCUGAAAUAUGAUAUAGUCUCUUGCCAACUACAACCAAAGCUACAGUCUUUUCUGGCCAAAGAAGCCUCAAAUUACUUCUAUGUUUGCAUGUAUAAAUAUUAAAUUCAACAGAGGAAGCUGGAAGCCAAGUGGUCUAAAGAUAAACAUGCUGUGGUCGCAUAUAGAGAGAAGGCACUACUUGUUCACUUCUCACUGGAAAACUGCCAUCAAUGGGUAGAUCCAAUAUCCAGAAUACAUUUAGAAAAGAUUCAAAGCAACCAAGAGAGGAACAACAAAUCCAGCUAAUUUUACUUUUAUAAUGGAAAUGGAAUUUCCAUUGGCUUUCUCAAGUUGUUGGCAGUUGACAAAAGUAAAGUUCCCAAAAUGGCAGUAGCAUAAUAAACAAUCAAGGGGUUGAAAUGAAAACAAACAUUUCCUGAAGGUUAAAACGAAGGAAAAUAACUUAGCACAUGGCAGCACAAGCUCAGUUCAGUUUGAUGGAAUAUAUAUAUAUAUAAGUGAUAACCAAGCAACACCCACAUAAUACAAGGAAAAUAUCAAAAUACAAGAAAAUCAAACUUUGAGUAACAGCAGACAAACCUUUAUAGCAUUGUUCAUUGAGCUCAAAGAAUGAAAUUCAACAAAACCAAAACAGUAUCCCUGUUGCUUAUUAUAUCUAACUUGGACACCAUCUUGCUUGAUCGGUCCAAAUUUCUUAAAUUCUACCUGAAGCUGAGCAGGCGUCAUGUUGUAGGGCAAAUUACGGAUAUAAAUGGAGUGGCCUUCAGCUUCAGCUUCCUCUUGCGCAUUGCUACUUUCAGGGGUUUCAGUGCUACUUGGUACUGAAGCUUCAGGCUCUGUGGCAGGUGCUACUGACACAGAGUGAUUCUCACGUUUCUUAGAACUCACUUUUACAGCAAAAGUGGGUACAUAAACUUUUGUUGGACCUGAACUUCCUCUUGGCACUUUAACAAUUGAUGCAUAAGAUUUCUUUGGAGUGUCCUCUUGAGUAGCAGAAGUUGAUUCAACAACUACAGAAACAUCAUUCCCAUUAGAAUGAGAUUGCGAUUCCACAACCACCUCCUUCUCAUAAAUUAACUGUUUCUCAGAGUCCACAGGAUCAUGAACUUCCUCAGCAACCUUUUUAUCUUGUUCCACAAUUGAUGUUGCUGGGUCUGGUGCAGGAGGAUCAGGAACAUGAGAAGGCUCUGAAUCUGGGAUUGAGGGGACUGUUGAGGCGUUAUCAAUUCCAUUAUCUGGGUGAUUCUCCAAUGGUUCAUUGUCCUCCACAUACCUGAAAACAUCAUUCAAAACAAAAUACCCAUUGUCUUGUGGUGCAAGAAAAAAUGACUGAGCAAAUUUCCUUUUCAAGUUGUCCUUGCCCAUCAAGCAUCCAGUUACUAACACAGUAACCCCUUCUUUAUAGGAUUUUUGAGCAUCUGCUGUUUUUAUUUCCGCUUUAUAGUCCUUGAAAUUCAGUGAAAGUAUCUUCUCAUUGAUACCUUGCAUGGUUCCCACUGAUGUCAUCACACCAUUGGCAUCUGGCCGGCUGAGCACACUUGAAUCCUGAUAAAAUCUAUAAACCAAUUCUGGUGAGGUGUGAAGAAUAUGGUAAUAUUGCUCAACAAAAGCAUUUCCAACCACUUGGGCACUAGGGGUAGUUGGGUUGCUUGCUGAUUGUAAAGCCAUUCUGAUAUGAACUGUUAAAAGCUAGGAAGGAGAUUUGCGAGGAAGAGAUAGUACAGUG